AAUGUAACAUGACGUUUUUUUUUUGUGAAAAUUCUUUAAGGUGAUAAAAUAUGUUAUAUUUUUAUGAAUGAAUUCACAACGCGUGCCAAAAUCUACUGCAUUUCUUUUGUGUAAUUUGCAAAUUAAACCAAAUUCAAGUGUGAUUUACAAAAAUAAUCAACAUUGCAAUUUUAAGUUUAACCACAAGGGUGUGUAAAAGCUUAGGUGGCGAGGUGGCGCGUGAUCUUUUUUUGCACGUGAUCAACAGACGUAAUUAAGCAUCGCCAGCGUAAACGUACUCAACGGACACAACCUGCUGUGAACAGGACCUACAUACACCCCAAAGGCUCUUUUCAGAGCCAUUUGACCAAGCAUCUUUGUACAUGCCGGUUUUCCUUCAGUAGUGCCAGUUUUCCUAAGAUUUUACCUCGUCCUCCACUGCCUCCAGUAAUUCCUGGUUUUAAGGUGGAGUAAUGGAGUAAAGAUGCAACGGAGCAGCUGAUAAGAAAACAUGCUUAAGACCAUCUUAAACGUGCACCAUCAAGAAAGGGAGGGGUACACAAUAAAAAAAAUUUUUAACAUUACUUUUUGAAUAGAUGCACUUUUUAAUUUUUUUUUAAAAGUAUAUAUAUUGUUUAUUUAUGUUGUUUUUAAAUGUUAUAAUUGUAUUGUUUUUAUUUGUUGUAUUUAGCUUUUAUGCAUUUGUACACACACAAACACACAACCACAUUUAUACAAAAUAAGUUUUGAAUAAAUACGUUUAAUGGAGUGCAAAGUGUGAGUCUUUAUUUAGCUAAAUGAUGUCUAAAAUGAGUCUGCAGUUGACGUUAUAAGACGUUGAAAAUAUGUCCACAAUGACCACAUUUCAACUAAAUUUGGACCUUAAAAAGACGUCCUAUGGAUGUCAU